GUCUUCGGACCACCGAACCUCCCGACUUCCGCCCGGAGCGCUGACCCCGCCCCGCCCCCGGAAGCCGCCCCGCCCCUACCGCUCCCUUCCGGGCUCGGCUGGCUGGUGGUUCUGCGAGGAGCAGGCGAGUGUCUGGAUGGUAAUGAAGUUUAAUUAAAGGGCUUCUAGUGCUAAAUCACCACGGCAACAUCCCCAUCAAGAGAUCCUCGGGCCACGGUUGGCCACAUUUACUGCCAGAAAUGAAGCACUAGGAAUGCAAAUGGAAGACAGGCUGGAUUCGACAGAAAGGAGGAACCAGAGACCAGAAGAAGGCACUAUUUGGAAGUGUGUUUGUAACACGAUGGUCACCAGCUCUUCUUGUGCCCUCUGUGUCCUGUUCUCUCACAGACUUGUAUACUAAAAGCCAUUGAAUUAUACACUUUAAAUGGAGGCAUUGGAUGCUUCAGGGGCCCAGAGCCAUGCUCAGAAAGAUGUUCACCGUUGCUAAACCCCAAACACCAACCAAAGUUACAACUUUGUUUUGACUCCAAGGCUUACAGCAUUAUGCCAAGGAAAAUAAAUGACUUUUUCCCACUA